GCGAAUGGCUCAUUACAACAGCUAUAAUUUACUUGUUCUAUUCCUUUAAACGGAUAACUGCGGUAAUUCCGGAGCCAAUACGUGCUAAAAGCCGAAUUCAGCAAUGAGUUCGGUGCACUUAUCGGAGCAAAACCCUUCCUGGUUUUAUGCUAACUCUGGAUAACACUGCUUAUCGCACGACCUCGUGUCGGCGAAGUUACAUUCAAGUAUCUGCCUUAUCAACUUUCGAUGGUAGUGUAUUGGACUGCCAUGGUGUUGACGGGUAACGGAGAAUCAGGGUUCGACUCCGGAGAGGGAGCCUUAGAGACGGCUACCAUGUCUAAGGACAGCAGCAGGCGCGCAACUUAUCCACUGUUCAUUGAACGAGAUAGUGACGAGAAAUAACAAGCCCGUUCUCUAUGAGGUCGGACAUUGGAAUGGAUGGAAUCUAAACAAUUCCAUGAGUACCCACGAGAGGGCAAGUCUGGUGCCAGCAGCCGCGGUAAUUCCAGCU
rnacentral:rRNA from 1 species